rnacentral:tRNA from 1 species
GCACCCGUAGUCUAAUUGGAUAAAACAAGGGCCUCCGACGCCCUCGUUGCGAGUUCGAGCCUCGCCGGGUGCACCA